rnacentral:rRNA from 1 species
GGAGGAUCCAAGCGUUAUCCGGGAUUUAUUGGGGGUUUAAAGGGAGCGUAGGUUGACAUAUAAGUCAGCUGUGAAAGUUUACGGGCUCAACCGUGAAAUUGCAGUUGAUACUGUAUGUCUUGAGUGUACAAGAGGUGGGCGGAAUUCGUGGUGUAGCGGUGAAAUGCUUAGAUAUCACGAAGAACUCCAAUUGCGAAGGCAGCUCACUGGGGUACAACUGACACUGAGGCUCGAAAGUGUGGGUAUCAAACAGGAUUAGAUACCCUGGUAGUCCACACAGUAAACGAUGAAUACUCGCUGUUUGCGAUAUACAGUAAGCGGCCAAGCGAAAGCAUUAAGUAUUCCACCUGGGGAGUACGCCGGCAACGGUG